UUGCAAUUGUGUGUGACUAAAAUGCAAGGCAUUCUUGAUUUGAGCCACUCAAUGAAGUUCUUCAGGGCCACAUCAAUUGUAACGGCAUCAGUGAUUGGCUUCCCAUCAUAAAACAGCAUUCCUCUUUGGAAGGUACACCAAGAAUUUUGAUAGCUGAUAUGAAUGAUGCGAUCAAAGACAAGGCCACCCGUAUAGACCCUAAAAGCUGGAAUGAUGGAACGGCGGAACAGCAGAAUGGCCGAAAAGGACCCCAAAUCAUAAAACGAGGAACGGCGGAAGAUGAUCCCAAAUCCUAAUUUAGAAUAUGCAGUCAUCAACUAAAGGAACUCAAGAUAUCUACAGCGCGGAACACGAGAACGAAAACCAGCGCCACAGAUAGAAAGAGAAUCACAUAGGAGGCAAUGAUAAGCCAGUACUGUGUACCAUAAAUAUAAAUUUAUGCAGGUACACCAAGAAUUGUGAUAGCUGACAGGAACGAUGCGAUCAAAGACGACGUAACAGGUAUCGCCAUCAACCCGCGGUUCGCGAAGAGAAAUUCCUUCGUUGUUCGCAGCUUUCCUUCGGUUAAGGCAUGGUAUAUCCCAAUAGCGGUCGACAGGAAUAACAUAAUUCCAAACACGGCAAAAUCAACUCUGCCAAACUGCACUAUUUCCACCGUAAUGAAAGUCUAGACAAACAUCUGUCCUACAAUCUACGGUCCGCUUAAUCUAUACCUGAACACAUGUAACAACGUUGUGUACGAAACGCUGAAGAGUCUCUUAGUUGAACCCGAGCAUGAGACUGACUGCUGUUAACUAGUUCACAGCUAUUGUAUGCAUUUCCUUGAUAAUUUCCAUGCCUUUCCACUCUGGUUUUUCCUUGCAGAGUCCUCUAUGCAUCUGUGGAAACUAUGAACUAUAAACUUGUUUAAACACUGUCAAACG